AAACGACCGUCUCCGCUGCCAUGAGAUGCCGACAGCCUGUGCGCUGGCCGCCACCCCCUGCUCCAUCAGGUGCUGGAAUCUGAGUAAAAGCCUGGGCGCGAGCUCCCAGCCCCGGGGCCUGCCACCGGCUCCACGAAGCGGGCAGCUCCAGCGGCCGCCGGGAGAAGGAAGGGCGACCGGGGGAGACGGGUCGCAGGGACAGCACGUGGCGGAAAGUUAGCCCCGGACUAGCACGCCCCACCCGGAGAAGCCGGCCUGGAAGGGGCUGCGGACCACCAGGCGGAGCGGUGGGCGACCGAAGUGCGGCUGGGCUGGCCUCCUCGUCUCCGCACUGGAAGAAUUGCCCUUCCGCAAGUCUUCCCUUCCCACAUGGGGGCCCUCCAGGCCGCACCUCGGUCGCCCACCGCUUCCCUUGAGAAGGGAGACUAAAGACAGGCAUCUGGAAGCUGUCACUGUGGCGCGCGGGCAGACAGGGGAUCCCAUUGGAGAGGAAGAGCCGUAGUAGUCGCUGCUGCCUUCGGCCGACCCAACGGCCGCCUGCUUGGGAGGAAGAAAAAGAACGCCCCCGCUGAAGAAUUAAGGCAGCCAUUGGUUGCUCUAGGGGGUUACAAGAUGGGCAGUACAAUAGAGGAUGGACUGGAGUUGGAAAAGACUAAAGCAGCAAGUUUGAUAAGGAGGCUACAGCAAUAGUCCAGGUGAAAGACGCAAGAGCCCAAAAUGCAGCAGUGGCCAAGGGAAUGGAUCUGAGAUAAAGUUCAGAAGAUAGAGUUGGCAGGGCAGGUGAGUUUAUCUUUAAUCCAGGAGAAGAGAAGAAGGCCACAUGAAGAUGGAGCAAGAGAUUGGAGUGAUGUGGCCACAAGCCAAGGAAGCUGAGGAAUGAAGACAGCUAUCAGAAGCUGGAAGAGGAAAAGAAUUCUCUCUUGGGGUCUGCAGAGGGAGAACAGCCCUGCCAACACUUCCAUUUCCAAUGUCUGGACUCUAGAACUGUGAGAAAAUAAAUUCCCAUUAUUUUAAGGAA